UUGACUUAUUAGAAUACACAUACUCAAAUCGCCUUUUACUUUCAGGAGUCUAGUUUCUCCAAUUAACUUUCGGCCUUCUGCACUUUAAGAGAAAAACAAAUCAGUAGCAUUCCAGAAAAAAUUAUUCAGUAACAUAAAUUUCAAUAAAUGUGAAAAAGAAAGCAAUAAUUCUCUUGAGGUCGGCAGUGGCUCGCUUGUUCCAGAAACCCAAAGCUCUGAUACCAGAAUUUGUUAGGAAUUUUUACGUUCUUUUGUGUAGUUGUGUGAAAGUGGCCAAUCAAUCGAACAAAAACAGUAAAGAACACCAAAUUUUGAUCACCGAGUUCGGCCAAAUGCCUAAUCUGGAGGCCUCAGAGGCAAGCCCAUUCACUAUGUGCAAAGUAACCCUUCAAGAGAUAGUGACAACAAUGAAAAAACCACAGACACCGGGUUUGAUCAUUGAUCCAAAGGAUCUCACACAAAUCAACCCUUAAUCAACCAAAGCACAAACACUCAAACUGCCGACCAAAACCAGAUACAACAAACGGCCAAAACAACCGGCCAAAGUUAUUGUAGCAGGAAGGCUUUCACAUCACACUUCUAAAUAUACAAUUAUUCUAUGAAAAACCACAAGAAUCAAAAAACCAAAAAGAAGAAGGAGAUGAAGUUUUUUCGAAGAGAACUCAAAGCCCAGAGAGAGAAAAACUUUGAAGUAAAAAACGUGUCUUACUGAAAAGCCAAUGGACCAUCCCUUGAUAAACACAAUUGAAAAAUCAGAUUGCAUUUCAACCAUAGAUCUGUUAUGGAUGGCCAGGAUGUGUUUAAAAGAAGCACAACUCGCGUGAAGCUCGACUGGCCAAUUGGGGGUUGCCACUUGGGCCGUCCACUUCCAAAAGACCCAUUUGCCCUUAAUAUAGUUGUCAAUGAAUUGAGAAAC
rnacentral:lncRNA from 1 species